ACCAGACUCCUACGGGAGGCAGCAGUGGGGGAUAUUGCACAAUGGGGGGAACCCUGAUGCAGCGACGCCGCGUGGGCGAAGAAGCGCCUCGGCGCGUAAAGCCCUGUCAGCAGGGAAGAAAAUGACGGUACCUGAAGAAGAAGCCCCGGCUAACUACGUGCCAGCAGCCGCGGUAAUACGUAGGGGGCAAGCGUUAUCCGGAUUUACUGGGUGUAAAGGGGGCGCAGACGGCGAUGCAAGCCAGGAGUGAAAGCCCGGGGCCCAACCCCGGGACUGCUCUUGGAACUGCGUGGCUGGAGUGCAGGAGGGGCAGGCGGAAUUCCUGGUGUAGCGGUGAAAUGCGUAGAUAUCAGGAGGAACACCGGUGGCGAAGGCGGCCUGCUGGACUGCAACUGACGUUGAGGCCCGAAAGCGUGGGGAGCAAACAGGAUUAGAUACCCGUGUAA
rnacentral:rRNA from 1 species